UCAGAAACAUGGGCUUCUUCCUCGCAUUUGUGGUAACCUCGCGCCGACGACAUUGCCGGAGUUGCAGUGCUCGCCGCUAUCUCCCAUCUGCGCCCCCGCCUGCUGCUGCAACAGGAACGGCGCGGCUAUUUCGCCAACCCACCCCUGCUCGCCCGGCACCUUCCCUACCACUACCAGCCCAGCCAUCUUCCGCCUACCUCCGGCUUACCCUACAGUGGCGACCACCUCUGAGACUAAAUCUUGGUUAGCUCUGAGGAUUUUUCUUGCUUCUCUCUCUCCCCCAGGCAUGCAAGCUCUGCACUGAGUGAAUCCGCGUGGUGGAAAUACAUUUCGAUGCUCAAAAUUAUUAGCAUUCUGAAGCUCAAGUGCGCGUCAUUCCUGGAUUAUAAGCCCAGAGAGGAUCAGAAUGAUAGAGCUCUCAACUUCCAUGAGCUAUGUUUCAGACUUCAGAGUUUUCCUACUUAAUUUUGCUGAUGUCACGCCUGGACCAGGCUUGGCAUCUUCCAGAUGAGCUGAUGGACAAGACAAUGUUGUAGUUUCCUUUUCGCGGAAAGGGGCAUUGAUAGGAUCAGAAUGGGCGUGCUAAGCAUGGAUGAUUUGUGCAGGCCUCCGUCACUCAUGGUAUUUUCUUCAUCUUAAAUGUUUUGCAGAACACUACUUUUCUUCAUUCUUGUUUGGUGAUUACCAUUUCCAUACCACAUAGGAUGUUUACUUGGGUAAUCUUAUGCAAAAUUCUUGUUUCUUGCAUGAUUAUCACAACUGCGCCACGGUUAAAAUAAGAUGAGCAGGUGGCGUUUGGAUUUCACGUAUUUACUUAGGAGGGACAAUACGAUCAAUUUAUGCUUAGUGGGAGAAAGCAAAAUGGUCGCAACAGACAAGGGCACAUGAUGCUGGGUCGUAAAAUAGUCCUCUGUAUGGAAAAAAGUUUACACAGUAUCUCACAGUUCAGGGUAUUACAUUAAGGAUGCAUAUUCAGUAUAUCAUACUAAGUGUCUUCCUUAUUUUACUACUGUACAAGUAUAAUCACUGGCUCUCUGCACAACAUGGGGCUGGAUUGAGGAUCGGGACUUCUACGCAUUUUUUGCAAGCUAAAACAUGGUCGUAACUUUUCACACCAUCCAUUGUUCCACUGCUUUGGGGGUUCCAGCUGCUACUUGAAAUCAUAUUGCUUUGGAACUGCUAGGAAUGGCUUGAAGGUCAGCACAAGCCCAAUUACUUCGACUAGAUUCAAAAUCAGGAAUAUCAUUUGAUCCCCUGCAUGAAGAAAUAGAUCAUAUGUUAUUAUUUGCAAUUGCACAUGCCCAUGGUGAUUAAUUACAUGCGUACUGCACGGGACAAGUUUUUUUUUAACAAAUAACUGCUGUUGCUGAAAUAAGAAUGUAACCCAUAAAUUAUCAAACAUACCUGGAAAGAAAGCAGCAUGUUGGCGCUUUUGGGCCCAUGAGAACCUACAUUUGAAAUUUCCAAAUAUGAUAUGUUAUAGAUGGUAUAUGCAUACAUUAUGUGCAUAUGAACCUAAUAUCAAGUAAUAAUAGUAUAAGAGAAGAUGCUGGUAGGCUUACUAGUGACCAUAUGAUUUUAAUUUAGCUCUGGGCUUUAUUUAUUUUUACCAGACACAGCUCUGGCCUUUAUCAUUCUUAGUAUUAAUUGCCCAUGUGUUACUAAAUUUUAGAGUCCAGUCUUAUGUCCAAUCUGAUAAAGGAACUAGUUCUUUGAGAAGCUCCAUCAAGGUUCAGUAGGGUUCACAUGCUAUACGACUUUUACAUGUUAGCAUAUUGAUUGUGUUCAAAGAAGAUUUGGAUGGUUCACAGCGAUACUCACAGAACACCUGCUCCUGCUGGAGCAAUAGCCUUGAAGAGGGACAUUGCAGUUGUAGAUAUGCCAUUUGCAGCACCUCUUUGAUUUUGUGACUGUCGUUUCAGUAAACUGAGUUAGCUAACUUGAGAAGCAAUUGAGAGUAUAAAAGUCACACAAAUUGACUUGAUACUUACCACAGCACUGUUUUGCAGAAUACAAGUGCCCGUUAAGAUAGUUGUCUGAUCAAAUUUUUCAAAGAUGUAAAAUGUAAUGUUAGAAAGAAUGAUAGUGCUGUAUAAAAAAGCAAAUAACUUCUAUGUUGGCAUUUCUUCUAUUAUGGUCAAUUCUGUAUAUAUCCUGGACUAUAAUGUAAACCUUAUGGGAUUUCUCAAUCUGUAUAACCCUAUUGCUCAAAAUUGAUACAGCAUGUAUAGUAUUCUGUUUGAAAGAAAUAAAGUCAUGUUUGAGACAACGAGAUGGAAUUGUUGACACUUACGGCAAAAGCACCCUUUAUAACGGCAGCGAAAUAAAUGGCUAGUCCGAGUUUGGUCCCUGAUAGGUGUGUCAUGAAGGGGUAAGUAGCAAGAAGUGGUAUGGAUAGAGCCUGAAAUGGACAUGUGGAAUUGUUAAAAAAAAAGAGGAUAUGUAUAAGAAAUGUGAGUUUUGUGGGAAAUAGCUCGGUUACUCACAGCUGCAAUACGGGAUGAAAUGAUAGACCCAAGAUAUUUGUGCACGUGUCUAUAAACAAAUAUUUGAUACAAAAGAAGACCAGCACCUGACAUCAAAUGUGAAAUUAAUACUCAAAGUUCUUUAUUAUCAUAAUACACCACAAAUAGUUACUACUAGAAUUUAACCAGUAUAACAAUGAGACACAAUGUUCCCGAAUGGGUGGCAUUUAGUAUUAGAACUAGUUUUGAUUAGAAAGAAGUCUACAUUUUGGGCCUUUAACUUUGCCCCAAGUGCAUUUUGGUCCUAUAACUUUCAAACAGCCCGAAAUGAACCCGAAACUUACAAAACAGUUCACUUAUGAACCCUUGUCUGGUUUUCGAGCGGUUCCAGUUACCUACAUGAUUCGUAUGCGUACGGACUCCUACAGCCCAUAUAUGGCUCUGUGGCACUGUAGUUCAAAAAUAAAAAUAAAAUGAAAUUUAAAAGGAAAGGCGGCUUGGGCCAAUAUUUUGUACCAACAAUUUAUUUUUCUCUCUUCUCCUCUCUCUGUCAUACUUUCACAUCGUCGGUCCCUCACCUCACAUUGUUAUUGAACUUGCUCUUCAUAUCUAUGUGGCAAUCACAUCGGUAAAAUAUUUCAUGCCGCAUCAGCGAAAACCGCAUUGAAGUCAGUGGUUUGUCCAAAAGGGAAUAGUUUCGUGAGCUUAUGGUUCCCUUUGGACUGUUUGAAAGUUUUAGGGCCAAAAGUGAUCUAUUUUUUUUCUUUUGAUUAUAUCUGGUUUCAAAGUGCACCACUACAUGGAUGAAUGUUCCAUAAAUAUGAACAUCCUAGAGGCAAUCUUAAUAUUGUGGUGCACAUUUUAUAGCAUUGUAGUUGAAAUCAACUGCAUAAAUUAAAAUGUUAAUAUGUAAGAGAUGUUUAAUAAGAUUAUAUACACUGGUUAUAACCUAUACCUGAAACUGCAAGAACUUGGCCAACAUCUUUAGAUGAAAAGCUUAGUCCGCCAUACUUUUUUUCACUUACAGCCCACAAGGAAAAUAUCUGAUGCAAAAAAUAUAUAUGUUACUUAUUUAUUCAUUAGUUUGUAUGUUGUAAGGGGAACAUGAAUAGUAGUUACCUCACUGUAUGCUGUAUCAUGAAGGGUGAAAACACAAUAUGCAAUUAUAGAAGACAUCAACGGCCAGUUCUUGUAUAGACUCUUCUCUGGAUGUGGAACUUCUCUAUGGGGAGCAGCUCUUGAAUCACUAACCAUUUCUACUUCCCUUUCUAAGUUUUUAUGCAUAUGAAGUGUCUCCUGGUAGCAAAGUUCAGUCACAUAUUAAGAAAAUAAAUCUAGAUAACCAAGCAAUAACUGAUUAGAGACCAAUUGCAAAUGGACUACAGGGGCUCAACAAUUGAUACAUUUGUUUGCCCUUUGGCUUGUCUUAAUUUUAAUUUUAUCCCUUUCUCUAAAAAAAUAAAACCAAAUUUACGCCUAAUGUAGAAACCAAUAUAUAUUUACAUAUUAUGGAUAAUUAUUUAUUUCCCGCAUGAUGUUAGACCCCAAUUAAGUCCUCUAACUGUUCAGCAGUUCUCAGUUUUUCAGUUUUGGUCUGAAGUACAAAUGCUGCCUUUUCAGUAACAGGCAAUGCAUGGGAUUAGGAAAUACAUGUGUCCUAUCUGUUAUUGGCUCAGAUCUGGAUAGUAAUGGAAGUCGUGGUAUCAAUUCGGGCUGAAAAUGUGCCAAACAUUAUAACUACAAAACUUAAAAGAACCCUCUACAAGUUGAAGACUAGGAAUGGAUGUCUCAGAGUUAACCAAUAAGAGAAAUUCCAUUAGAUUAUACUGGCAAAGCUAUUAAUGGAAAAGGAAAAGCAUAGGGCAUAGUAUUAGUGGGAAUGUCACAUACCGGUAGCCAUAUGCAGCUUAUUAGGACAGCAAAGGCGAUCAGUGAAAUGAAAAGGCAUGGCAACAAAUAGGGAAACCUAAAAAAUGCAUAUAGUGUUAGUUUCAUGAAGUUGGCUCAUUAGAAUUAAAUAAAAGCUUAUUUACACUACAGUUUACCUCCCAAAAAUCGACUUCUCAGAAAAUAGGUUCGGAUAUUGCUUUGCAGGCUGACAAGCAAGUAAGAAAACAAGUGUGUUAGAAUAGGUAGUACAUUUAUUAAUAUUUGGAAAUGGGCAUUUCUGAACAGAUAGGUACCUGUGCUAAGUAGCCUCCAAUGGCUGGACCGACAACAAGACCUAUGCCCCAGCCCGUGCUUACCUGUACCCAAUGAAUAAAGUCAACUAGAGCAACUGGUAAAUUGUAAUGGUGAUGCAUGUAAAAAAGAAGAGUUAUAUGUUCAUUUACAACUGAUAAUCCUAGAGCAUGAUGUUCAGGUCGACAAACUUCAACUGAAUAGGCCUGUAAAAGUCAACAAUUAGUAUGACAUAACUGAUGCCAUGGUAUUAGUUGCUACCAUGACAUAACUGAUGCUAGAUUGGGCAAACUUGGAUACCUUUAUUGGGGCAAGCAUGCCAUUCAUAGAACCAAGGAGCAUUCUUGUGGCAAUCGCCAUCCAGUACUUUACACUUAGUCCAAAUAGAGUGUUAAAGAUGACCCUGAAAGAGGAUUGAUUACCGAGCUUAUAAAUUAGCUGCCACGUAAAAGUUAGCAUAUUUAUUUUGUUACAGCUAGCAGAAAAGUUUGCUCACACUGAGAACAUGGAGAAUGCAAUGAUAGGUUUUCUCCCAAUACGAUCUGCCACCACACCCCAGAAGAGCGAGGCGAAACAUCUGCCGACCAUGUACGAUGCACCUAUAUGACAUCGACAUCAGUAUACCAUAUCUUAAUCUGGGUGAGUAUAUAUGUUAGUGUUUGGAAGAAGAACUGCAGGAAUGUACUGGAACUCUGUCACAUGUUGUUGAUUCAAUGAGUUUUAGCAUUCUUACCAAGAAGACCAGCAUACACACCGAUAUCUUGUUCGUUUUUUGCCACAUGCAUAUCUUGUAUCUGUUGUCAAGGAAGGUCAAACUGAGUAAAGAAAUAAAAUGAGUGAUGUUUUAUCA